UUGAGAUCCUGAAAACAGCAAGUUCUAAACCAUACAGCAGUUCUGGACUUCCACUUAGGAUCUGAAGUAAUCCACUUAGAAAGCUGCAAAAAAUGUUUCUCCCACCCUGACAAGAAACGGCUGGAUGACAGACAAAAGCGUAACAUUUUUGAGCCCUCAGGUGACUGAGGCUGCGAGGUAGACACAAACUGAAUUCCGAAGAGGGAAAAUCCACUGAGAGGAGAGACGGGGCACACAGACUCUCUACUGUCUCACAUCAAUGGGAGAAAAGGUAGCUGCUAUAUAAGCAGGUAAGAAAAAUUUAGCUAAGAUUUUAACAUUUGUAAAAGCUAAGCGUGGGCUAUUGGAUCACUUUGGAACGGGACUGGCUACUUAAUUUGUGGGUCUUAGCGCGAAAUGAAAAUACGAGAACCCUUGCUCAAAAAUGAAGACUUCAGGAUGGUGACAGCAGAGCGUGAAACCAGACGCAAGGACCUUCUAAGCGUGGGCUGUUUGUGAGUGCACAGGUCAUGUGCCUUGAAGCCAGUGCUCAGACGCAGAGGCGGUUCCCACUCACCUGAAAGCUGUUCGCCCUCCUUCCGCCUUCACCAGGUGUCCGCCAGAAGGAGAGAGAGCACGGCCGACCUCCGUGCAAACGAGGAGGUGAUUGGUGCCUGUGCAGGAACAAGCUCAAAGCCCCACUAGCUUCCCGGGAUCCUUCUCCCCCGCAGAGCCGAAGUCUUAAGGUGCUGGGGGUGGUACACCAGGUACUGUGGCCACAGGACACUGGCAAAGAUUUACUGUUUCUAGAGAAACAGUAAAAGCAAAACCCACCUUCCUCUUCCAGGACGCAGGCGAAGACUUGUUGCUGCUGGGGGAAGGGUAGAAGCAGAACGUCUCUGCUGCUGGGGGAGGGGCAGAUACAGAUACCAGACGAUGGCUGUCCUGCUACGGGUGGCGCAAAGAACAAGCACCCCAGACCCACCACAGUUAUCAGCCCGAGUUUGGAGGUCACAGGUAGGAGGAACAGGAAUGCCAAGAAAACCUCACCCCUGAAGCCAAAGUACAAAGGGCCUGCCUGAGAUUUGAGGCCGAAUUGGAACAAACAGCGUGUCACCUGCUCCUACCACGAGUUUAGCACCCAACCACAAGCAACAGCUGUCUACAACCAGGGGCGGGGUCAGAGCAUGGAGGAGGACCCUCUCUCUGAUACAGGUCCUUAAGGUGUACAGUUAGGUUAUGGAGGCUGGAAGUUGGAGAUCAGGGUGCCAGCAUGGGUGAGUUCUGGUGAGAGCCCUCUUCUGGGUUAUAUAUUGUCAACUUCUAAUUCUAUCUGACUUUUAAUACAGGCAUUUACAGCUAUAAAUUUCCCUGCAAACACUGCUUUCACUGUAUCCCACAGGUUUUGGUACACUGUGUUUUCAUUUUCACUCAUCUCAAAGUAUCUUCUCAUUUCCCUGGUGAUUUCUUCUUUCACCCCCCCGCCCCGCAAAGGUUAUUUAGGAGUGUCUUAGUUUGUACCUAUUUGUAUAUUUUCCAGUUUUUCUUUUGUUAUUGAUUUCUGAUUUCAUCCCACAGUGUCUGGAGAACAUACUUUGUAUGACUCCAAUCUUAAAUGUUCUAAGGCGUAGGGUUUAUAGCCAAGCACAUGGUCAGUGUUGGAGAAUGUUCCAUGUGCGUUUGAGAAAACUGUGUUCUGCUAUUGCCUGGUGGAGUGUUCUGCAGAUGUUAGGUAAAGUUGUAGUGUUUUUCAAGUCUUCUAUUUCCUUGCUGAUCUUCUGUCUAGUUCUGUUAUUGCAGGUGGCAUAAUAAAGUCUCCAACUAUUUGUUUCUUCCUUCAAUUCUGUUCAUUUCUGCUCUGUAUAUUCUAGGGCUCCACUGUUAAGUGCAUACGUUUAUGAUAUAUUUUCCUAAUAGUCUGACUCUUUAUCAUUGUGAAGUGUUCUUCUUUAUUUCUAGUAACAGUUUUUGGUUUGAAAUCUGUUUGGUCUGGUAUUAGUAUAUCCAGUCCAGCACUUUUAUGGUUACUAUUUGCAUGAUGUAUCUUUUCUCACCAUUUUAUUUUUAACCUAUUUUUGUUUUUGAAUCUAAAUUAUGUUUCCUGUAGACAUUAUAAAGCUAGAUAUUUAAAAACAAAAACACCAACUUGAUAAUUUCUGCCCUUUGAUUGCAUUGUGUUGAUGACUCAUUCAGUGUUAUUGAUAUGACUGGAUUUAUACCUGCCAUUUUCUUUUCUUUUUUUAAAUAUGCCUUUCUUUGUUUAUUGGUUCCUGCUUUAACUGCUUUCUUUUUAGUAAAAUAUUAUUUUCUAACAUAGUAUUUAAAUUCCUUUAAUAACUUUACCAUUAUUUUUCUUUUUUAGUGGUUGCUCUGGAACUCAGAAUACACAACUUAUGAAAUUCUACUUCAGAUUUAUAAAUUCUAGUGAUUUAAGAGGUAUUUACUCCUAGAUAGCAUAUAGCUCCUUUCCAUUUCCAUUCCCCGUUUUUGGUAUUGCUGUUAUACACAGUAUAUGUUACAAACCCCCAAAAUUAUUAUAUACACUUUGUAAUAUAAUUACUAUAAUAUAUAAUUACUAUUUUAUAUACUCUUAUGACCCUGAAGAAGCUGAGAGAGAAGGAGAGUGAGUGUAUAUUUAUAGAUUUUGUUAAAUAACCUUCUCAUUUGUAUUUUCUUCAUAUUCUUCCUUUAAUUCAAGUUACCAUCUGGUGUUACUUCCUUCUUUAGUACAGCUUUGUUCCCACCCACCUCCUCUGUGCUGUUACUAUCAAAUCUACGGCUGCAUUUCUAUAUAUUCUGUUUCUUUUAAGUUCAAUUAUACUACAAAUAUAUCCUUACUGUGUCAUGCAACUGGUUUUUAAAUCAGUUAAGAAGGUGCAAUUCUACCAUCUUCUACUAUUACUACCUUGUGUGUGCAGCUGACUUACUUUCUGGUAUCAUUUGCUUUCAGCCUGAAGUGCUCCCUCUAGUAUAUCUUGUAUGGUAAGUCUGCCAGCAUUGAAUUCCCUCAGUUUUUGUUUAUCUGGGUAUGCCCUUCUUUUGUGUUCAUUCUGAAGUUGUGCUGGAUAUGACCUUGGUUUUUUAUUUUCAGCACUUUGAGUAUGUUUCAUUGCCUUUCUGAGGAAAUGUCAGCUGCUUAUUCAAUUGAGGUUCCCUCCUGUAAGUCAUUUUUCUCUUACUGCCUUCAAGAUUAUUUCUUUUAGACUCUCAACAUUUUGACCAUGAUGUGUCUGACUGCUCCUGUGUGGAUACAGCCUAAUGUACGUGCACAGCCAUCUUGUCUCCCAGAGUUGACUGUGAUGAUCUCAGGAAAGCUCUUCUUCACUAUCUCUUUCCCUGCUUUUACCUGUUAAAGUUCUCCUUGCUCUCCUCUUUUGCUUGUUGCUACUAGUAUCACGGGAGCUAUGAGAGCCUUCUUCAUUGGUCUCCACCAUAAUACCCACUGUCUUCAACAAAAUACUUAGGCGUGCAAUUCUUGACCCUCUGUUCUAAGUAACGUCAGCCCCCUCAGGCAGAGGUAAGGAACUUUUUGUUCUGCAUCUCUCUCUGAACAGAACUUCUAUGCCACUGUUCCGGAGUUGCAGGCAGGUAUGAUGGCUCACUUCUUAGUGACAUCCCCUGUUCUAGAGUAGGCACUGAGGCAAGAACUGGGGAGACAACAUUUUCUGCCUGCCACACAUGACUGGAACACAGCCUCCACCCUAGGAGCCAGGGAGGGGAAGGGAGUCUCAGCCUGACCGACUGCACCCACUGGGAGCAGAGCCUCUGUAACCCUGGACUGGGACAGGUGAGAUAUGCUGGCACCUGCCCCCCAGGGGGGAGAAACAACAGCCCUGGACUGGGAACUGAGGGAGGGGAGAAGCCCCAUCUUCUUGACCACACCCACCCGGGACAGAACGACUGCAGUGUAGUUUCUGUACAGGGGAUCUGGAAACAGGAGGAAACACUCGUGACUCAAAUUCCACAGACUCUGGUAUUAUACUGAGAGUUAGCAGAUCCAGAAUAAGUGUUUCUGUAUUUGCUGUAUACAUUUAGGACAAAUUCCAAACACUUGAAACAAGUGUUUAAAAUAACAUUUUCCAGUCCAGUAUUUGUUCCUACUGGGGAGAGGGUUUGCCAUGUUCCUCACUCCGCUAUUUCAGAAGCAAAACUCCUCUACCUCUAACUUUAAUAAUCCACGUUGCAGUUUUCCUUCUGAAAGUGAUUACAUACAAUUAAAAUUUAAAGUUACUUACAAGGAAUACUUCAAAGUGUCAUCUAAUUCCAUGAUAGCAGCCUGGUUCCCACAACGAUAACAGUAAUUCGGUGCGCUGAAAAUGGUAACCACAUUCCGAUCGUGACACCAAUUGUAUCCCUGCAGCAUGUAAAAAAAAAAAAAAAUCAGUAUUUCACCAUAAAAUCAUAAUGUUGACAGAGCUAAGUUUAGAAAACUAAACUCAAAAGUUACACGAGUAUUCUCUGUGGAAAUGCAGUCUUCUGUGUUACCUUAUGUGGUGUCCAUCUUUAAUACGUACACCUGCACUGAGAUCCAGCUAUGGAGCUCAGUAACUUUUUCUGCUUAAUCUAUGCUUGAGAUCGAGGCUAGGAUGUGUAUUCAGAUUUCUCCCACAAUGAUGGAAGAUGUCUCAAUUCUUCCUCAUAAAUUAUGUCAAUUUUUGCUUUACAUACUUUGACUCUAUUACUAGGUAAAUAAAAAUUUAGAAUUAUUCUCUCCUAUAUAACUGGGCCACUUUUCAUCAGCAAAAUACCUCUUUUUAUUUCUAAAUAUACUACUGUCUUAUAGCCCUUUCUGAUUCAUAUUAUUAACUAUAUUUUGGAUAAUUAUCUAAUUGAUGUAUUAAUAUACCAUUUUCCAUCCCUCUAUUUCUAGUCUGUGGUAUCAUCAUGUUUUAGAUAAAUCCCAAGUAAUGGGUGAAUUUUUUGAUUAUUUAUCCAAUUUGAGACUCUCAGUAUUUUAGGUAAGUAAAAAUUUUUAUCCAUUCCCAUUCCUUAUGAUUAUAAUGAGGUUUAUCUUUACUGUACAAAUCUACGUUCUUUAUUACCAUGCUGUUACCCCUUCUGCCUCUGUUGGGUUAGUGAAAUUUUCUCUAACAUCUUGAAGCUACUCCCUACUGGUUUGGAAGGAUUAUAUUCUAUUUAUAUUCCUUUAAUGUUUAAAGAAUAGUAACAUCAUGGUAGAGAAAUGUGGCAGGCACCACCUUAACCAAGUGAUCCAAGUUAGUUAAUAGCACCAGCACUGGGAAAGAUCCCAUGACCUGAUACGAUGUGCCGAGAAGGACACAUCAUCAUACUGUGAUACGCCCGCCAAAAGCGCACAUCCCGAAUCAUAAGGAAACAUCAGCCAAACCAUAAAUGAAGGCUAUUUCUACAAAAUAAAAUUGCUUGUAGUCUUCAAAAAUGUCAAGAUUAUGCAAAACAAAGGAAAUCUGAGGAAUUUCCACAUCCGAGGGGACUGAAUACAGCAUGAUCCUGGAUGAGAUUAUAGGUGCACACACAUUAUUAAAUUUCGCUAUAAAAAAUUUUUGCUAUAGAGGACAUUGGUGAGAUAAUAAAAAUUUGACUAAAGCGUUUAUAGACUUAAAAAUUUUUUUUAUUAUUUUAUUUUUUUGGCCGUGCUGCGAGGCUUGUGGGAUCUUAGUUCCCUGACCAGGGAUCAAACUUGUGCCCCCUGCAGUGGAAGCACAGAGUCUUAACCACUGGACCGCCAGGGAAUUCCCUGAAUAAAGCACUUAGAUAAUGGUACUAUAUCAAUGAAAAUUUCCUGACCUUGAUAACUAUACUGUGGUUAUUUAGGAGAAAGUCCUUAUUUUUACAAAACACACAUGGAAAUUUGGAUGUAAAGGAGGAUCUCACCUUCAGCUGACGUUCAAACAGCUAAAAAAAAAAGUAAUGUGUGAGGGGAAAGGGGAAUAGGAAGGGAGAGAGAAUGAUAAAGCAAAUAUUAAAAUAUUUAUACUUUAGGAAUCUGAGUGUAGGACAGAAAGGAAUUUUUUGUUACUAUUUUUUUGCAAUUUUUCUUGAAGUCUAAAUUAAUUACAAAAGUGAUACAUAAUUUCGCUUUGGCCAACUAGUACUUUCCCUACUUGCUAAAAUCAGCCAAGUUUUUUUCCUUUCAUUUAGGUAAUGGGGAGGAAUGUUUCUGACAUUCUAAGUCAUGAAGCUUUAUUAGAGAAACAUUUAUUUGAAACAGAGAUCAUCAUCCUAUAAGAAAAGGACAUACCUCCAUUACCAGUUGGUGAGCACGAGAAACCAGUGUGAGACCAUUGGCAUGGUUAAACGUUUCAGAAAUAUCUUGUCCAAAUGUGUAGCCAGCGCCGCGUGGUGAAAUACCCCACCCACCACGGUCAUCGGGAUCUGACCAUAACAGAUCACACAUUGGGCCCUGGCAAAGAAAACGGAAGUAUGCGACGCCUCUCACUGCUGUGGCCUCUCCCGUUGCAGAGCACAGGCUCCAGACGCGCAGGCUCAGCAGCCGUGGCUCACGGGCUCAGCCGCUCCGCGGCAUGUGGGAUCUUCCCGGACCGGGGCACGAACCCGUGUCCCCUGCAUCGGCAGGCAGACUCUCAGCCACUGCGCCACCAGGGAAGCCCUCUAGAUGAGUUUUGACCAUUAUAUUUCUUUAAUAGACUUUUCAAAAACUGCUUUGGGCCAUAUUGAUCAACUAUGUAGUUUUGGUAUCUAUUUCUGCUUUUAUUUUUAAUUAAUCCAAGUUUAUUUUACUGUUUCAUUCUUUGAAUUAAAUGUAAUUUAUAAAUAAAUGCACUUCCUUGCAUUUCAUCCCUUACUUACAUCUAAAAGUUUUGGUUUACACUAUACUUCCACUUGGUCAUUUAAAAAUGACUUCUAUUUUAUGAGUGUUAGUAGAAGACUGUGAAAGUUCCCAAGGAGGUAGAUCUGUCCUACUACUCAGAAUCAGAAACUGUCACUUAACACAUGGUGUGUAGAUAUAUCAAUAGAUGGAAAGGGAAGCAGGAAGAUGGAGAGGAUGAAAGGAAGAACUUGCUGGUCUCAACGUGUAUAAAACUUACCCAGUUCCCUGUUCUGAAACUUAAAGUAUAAGGGAAAGAGGCAGAAAAGGCCGAGGAGAUGCAGAAAGAAUGUCAUGUCAAUCUAGACCCUAAAUUACUAACAGAAAAUCUUUUCCUACUUUUAUCUGUCCCCACAUACAUACCUGCCCAUCUACUAAAGCUGUAAGUGGCAGAUAGUCAAACAGAUCUGUAAAGUAUUUCCAAACAUUGGCAUUCCCAUACUUUCGCAGACAUUCAUCAUAAAAGCCAUAUACUUGGGUAAUUUGUCGGCUUUCGUGGUUUCCUCUCAAUAUUGUAAUACGUUCUGGGUAACGCACCUGAAGGAAAAGGCAAAGAAACCCAUGGAAGUAUUUUUACUAGUGUUAUGCUAAGCACAUUAACCUCUGACCCAUUUCUUUAAAUGGUCCUUCAGUCUGCUAGUACAUUAAAUGUAAAUUUUUUCAGAAUAAAAAAUUUUCUCAUUCAUCACCAGGUCCUCUUGAUUAACCUUUGAAAUAUUUUUUUAUGGCCAUCCUUCUUCAUACUGUGUAUCCAUACUCCCCUCACUGGAAUCCUUAUUAACUGGUAACUAUUUUAUUAUAAUAAAAUCGUAUCUGAC